AUACGGAGGGUCCAAGCGUUAUCCGGAAUCAUUGGGUUUAAAGGGUCCGCAGGCGGUCAAUUAAGUCAGAGGUGAAAGCCCAUCGCUCAACGAUGGAACUGCCUUUGAUACUGGUUGACUUGAGUUAUACGGAAGUAGAUAGAAUAAGUAGUGUAGCGGUGAGAUGCAUAGAUAUUACUUAGAAUACCGAUUGCGAAGGCAGUCUACUACGUAUAUACUGACGCUGAGGGACGAAAGCGUGGGGAGCGAACAGGAUUAGAUACCCUAGUAGUCC
rnacentral:rRNA from 1 species